CCUACGGGGGGCAGCAGUGGGGAAUAUUGGACAAUGGGGGCAACCCUGAUCCAGCGACGCCGCGUGUGUGAAGAAGGCCUGCGGGUUGUAAAGCACUUUAUGAGAACUGCCCUAACCCAAAGAAAAAGCACCGGCUAACUCUGUGCCAGCAGCCGCGGUAAUACAGAGGGUGCAAGCGUUAAUCGGAAUUACUGGGCGUAAAGCGUGCGUAGACGGUUAUCUAAGUCGGAUGUGAAAUCCCCGGGCUCAACCUGGGAAUUGCAUUCGAAACUGGCUAGCUAGAAUGCGGAAGAGGGAAGCGGAAUUUCUGGUGUAGCGGUGAAAUGCGUAGAUAUCAGAAGGAACAUCAGUGGCGAAAGCGGCUUCCUGGUCCAGAUUGACGUUGAGGUACGAAAGCGUGGGGAGCAAACAGGAUUAGAUACCCUUGUAGUC
rnacentral:rRNA from 1 species